rnacentral:rRNA from 1 species
UGGGGAAUAUUGGGCAAUGGGGGCAACCCUGACCCAGCAACGCCGCGUGAAGGAAGAAGGCUUUCGGGUUGUAAACUUCUUUUACCAGGGACGAAGACGUGACGGUACCUGGAGAAUAAGCCACGGCUAACUACGUGCCAGCAGCCGCGGUAAUACGUAGGUGGCAAGCGUUGUCCGGAUUUACUGGGUGUAAAGGGCGCGUAGGCGGGAUAGCAAGUCAGGAGUGAAAUCUAUGGGCUUAACCCAUAAACUGCUUUUGAAACUGUUAUUCUUGAGUAUCGGAGAGGCAGGCGGAAUUCCUAGUGUAGCGGUGAAAUGCGUAGAUAUUAGGAGGAACACCAGUGGCGAAGGCGGCCUGCUGGACGACAACUGACGCUGAGGCGCGAAAGCGUGGGGAGCAAACAGG